UUUCCGGUUGAUCCUGCCGGAGGCCAUUGCUAUCGGUGUCCGACUUAGCCAUGCUAGUUGCACGUUUACCGUAGCGAACAGCUCAGUGACACGUGGCCGAUCUACCCUAUGGACCGGGAUACCCACGGGAAACUGUGGACAAUCCCGGAUAGCGCUCCCGAGCUUGAAUGCUGGGAGCGUCAAACGCUCCGGUGCCAUAGGAUGAGGCUGCGGCCGAUUAGGUAGACGGUGAGGUAACGGCUCACCGUGCCGAUAAUCGGUAUGGGUCAUGAGAGUGAGAGCCCAGAGACGGAAUCUGAGACAACAUUCCGGGCCCUACGGGGCGCAGCAGGCGCGAAACCUUUACAAUGCACGUCAGUGCGAUAGGGGGACACCGAGUGCGAGGGCAUAGAGCCCUCGCUUUUGUGUACCGUAAGGUGGUACACGAAUAAGGGCUGGGCAAGACCGGUGCCAGCCGCCGCGGUAACACCGGCAGCCCGAGUGAUGGCCGAUCUUAUUGGGCCUAAAGCGUCCGUAGCUGGCCGCGGAGGUCCGUCGGGAAAUCUACUGGCCCAACCAGUAGGCGUCCGGCGGAAACCCCGUGGCUUGGGACCGGGAGACCUGAGGGGUACGUCCGGGGUAGGAGUGAAAUCCCGUAAUCCUGGACGGACCACCGGUGGCGAAAGCGCCUCAGGAGAACGGAUCCGACAGUGAGGGACGAAAGCUAGGGUCUCGAACCGGAUUAGAUACCCGGGUAGUCCUAGCCGUAAACGAUGCUCGUUAGGUGUGGCGCAGGCUACGAGCCUGCGCUGUGCCGUAGGGAAGCCGUGAAACGAGCCGCCUGGGAAGUACGUCUGCAAGGAUGAAACUUAAAGGAAUUGGCGGGGGAGCACUACAACCGGAGGAGCCUGCGGUUUAAUUGGAUUCAACGCCGGAA
rnacentral:rRNA from 1 species